rnacentral:rRNA from 1 species
UAGGGAAUCUUGCGCAAUGGGCGAAAGCCUGACGCAGCAACGCCGCGUGGGGGAUGAAGGCUCUCGGGUUGUAAACCCCUUUCAGCAGGGACGCGGUACCUGCAGAAGAAGCCCCGGCCAACUACGUGCCAGCAGCCGCGGUAACACGUAGGGGGCAAGCGUUGUCCGGAUUUAUUGGGCGUAAAGAGCUCGUAGGCGGCUCGGUAAGUCGGGUGUGAAACUCAGGGCUCAACCCUGAGACGCCACCUGAUACUGCUGGGCUAGAGUCCGGUAGGGGAGCGUGGAAUUCCUGGUGUAGCGGUGAAAUGCGCAGAUAUCAGGAGGAACACCAGCGGCGAAGGCGGCGCUCUGGGCCGGAACUGACGCUGAGGAGCGAAAGCGUGGGGAGCAAACAGGAUUAGAUACCCUUGUAGU